AAUAUUGGACAAUGGGGGCAACCCUGAUCCAGCCAUGCCGCGUGUGUGAAGAAGGUCUUCGGAUUGUAAAGCACUUUAAGUUGGGAGGAAGGGCUGUAGGUUAAUACCCUGAAGUUUUGACGUUACCAACAGAAUAACCACCGGCUAACCCUCUGCCAGCAGCCGCGGUAAUAGAGAGGGUGCAAGCGUUAAUCGGAAUUAUUGGGCGUAAAGCGUGCGUAGGUGGUUCAGUAAGAUGGGUGUGAAAUCCCCGGGCUUAACCUGGGAACUGGUUUCAUAACUGCUGAGCUAGAGUACGGUAGAGGGUAGUGGAAUUUCCUGUGUAGCGGUGAAAUGCGUAGAUAUAGGAAGGAACACCAGUGGCGAAGGCGACUACCUGGACUGAUACUGACACUGAGGUGCGAAAGCGUGGGGAGCAAA
rnacentral:rRNA from 1 species